GCUUGUCUCAAAGAUUAAGCCAUGCAUGUUCAAGUAUAGCAAGUGUACAGUGAAACUGCGAAUGGCUCAUUAUAUCAGUUAUAGUUUAUUUGAUGGUCCUUACUAUUUGGAUAACCGUAGUAAUUCUAGAGCUAAUACAUGCAUCAAGCCCUGACUUCGGAAGGGGUGUAUUUAUUAGAUGGAAACCAAUGCGGGGCAACCCGGAAUAUGGUGAUUCAUAAUAACUUUCGGAUCGAUUUAUCGAUGCAUCAUUCAAGUUUCUGCCCUAUCAGCUUUGGAUGGUAGGGUAUUGGCCUACCAUGGCUUUAACGGGUAACGGAGAAUUAGGGUUCGAUUCCGGAGAGGGAGCCUGAGAAAUGGCUACCACAUCCAAGGAAGGCAGCAGG
rnacentral:rRNA from 1 species